GAUGAACGCUGGCGGCGUGCCUAACACAUGCAAGUCGAGCGAUUUACUUCGGUAAAGAGCGGCGGACGGGUGAGUAACGCGUGGGUAACCUGCCCUAUACACACGGAUAACAUACCGAAAGGUAUGCUAAUACGAGAUGACAUAAGAGAUUCGCAUGGAUUUCUUAUCAAAGCUUUUGCGGUAUAGGAUGGACCCGCGUCUGAUUAGCUAGUUGGUAAGGUAACGGCUUACCAAGGCGACGAUCAGUAGCCGACCUGAGAGGGUGAUCGGCCACAUUGGAACUGAGACACGGUCCAAACUCCUACGGGUGGCUG
rnacentral:rRNA from 1 species